UUAAGUGGAAAUAGGAAUAUAAUUGACUUUAAGUUUAAAUGAUGUUAGGAGUAUGCCCAAUAUGGGUUAGAUCUUACCACCUUGAAACUAACAUGCUAUUUCGAAACUAAAAACAUUAUCUCAAGUUCUUAACUUGAUCUUGACACAUGAUCUGCAACAGUUUAAAUUCGGUUUACACUCUUGCGAAAUGGGCAAAACAAUAUUUGCGCUCCCAAGAAUCAUACUAAUGUUGUUGGUUCAAACCAUUUGCAGUUACAGCACUUUACCGCUCUUUGCUGUUGUCACACAGGUAUAUCAUCCUUCUAACUAAGCAGCCAGGCAGGAGGAGAAGGAGGGCCAUGGUUUGAGUCUACACCAUCAUGGAUCAUUGGAGCAGUGGUGUUUCUGAUGGUUGCUGUUUCUUAAUUGGUUCAUCGAAAAACUUCUUAGUUUCCUCGGUCAGGCAAGUCUCUUUCUACCCCUCCCAUAGGCCUCAGACCUUAUUCGAAGCUAAAACCAUAAAAACGCUUGCAGAUGUUGAAAAGAUAGGAAAAGAAGCCCCUUUAUGAUGCCUUACAGAAUUGAAGAUCAAAGAAGGUUAUAUACCAACUUUUUUGCAUCUUUUUUCUCACAACAUUAUCUUGCAGAGUUGAUGCUGUUGGGGUUUGUAUCGCUGCUUCUGGCUGUUUUCCAAGAUGAGAUUGCAAGUACAUGCAUAUCAGAAUAAUUAGCCAAGAAGUCAACCAGUAAUGAUAUCUCCCAUUUUCAGAUCUCUCUCCUUCCCAGUGGAGGACGCCGCCUUCUAGCUGAGAAGACCACCUUUUCUUGCCCAAAGGUAUUCUUUUGUGUCUUAAAUCUGUCUUGCUAACAUUGUUUGCCUAAAACACAAGUGGAGUCCUUCAUUUUUUACCCUUUUAAUAUCGGCAGCAACCUGGAGGUGGUUGAAUUAUUUUUUUAUUUUAUUUUUUCCGGUGUGAGGGUGGCUGGAUGUGGUGGUGGUGAAUUGGGUAGGAGGGAAGCAAAGAGGACGGCUGGGUCCGGAAGGUCGGCGGCGACUGACCCAGCGAGGGAGGGGGCUCCAGCAAGGGAAGGAAGAAGAUGGGUUAUUGUUUUUUUUUGUUUAUUCCUUUAUUUUUUAAAAAUAAAAAAUAAAAAUAACCAAUUAGAAGACAACACGUGGCAAAAUGCCUUCUAAACAGGUUACCAAUAACACUAAUAGGUAAAAGGCUCAUUUUGAGAAUAUGGGGUAUAAAGGUGGGAUUAUUUUUGGUUAACAGUAUGGGUGUUUUGGAAAGUUUGGUUAACAGUAUGGGUGUUUUGGAAAGUUUGGUUAACAGUAUGGGUGAUUUGUGCUUGCUCACCCAUAUUCUUCUGUCUAGUAAAUACCACCUAAAUCUGACCUAUAAAUUACAUGAAUUCAUCUAUUUAUUUAAAAUUGAAUUAGGCUUCCAAUUGAAGAACAUAAUAAUACAGUGAGUUUUUACAACAAAAUUUGCACACAAGUAACUUCUCUCCUUUGCCUAAUAGACGUUUUGACACAUGCCGCAGACAACGUUACUAUAGUUAACAAAAUGUGCGGUGCAACAUUCGCUCCGGUUGUAUGCAUUAGCUGCAUAAAAAGCAACAACAAGGACGCUCUUACGGACGUAGAUGUCAUCCAUCAAAUGCUUGGAUGCUUGCAAAACGAUGCUUUAAAACUCAUGCAUGAUAUGGACAAGAUUAUCAAAAACAAGUUGGCCGAUUUGACGACGAUUAAUAUCUUGAAAAGACGUGAAGCUAACUCUGGAGUCUUACUAGUUAGAGAAAUUUGAGACGCAUACAAAGAAAUUGCCACUUCUAUUAAGAAUAAUGCUUUCUUCCUUGAUUAUUUCACAAUUACAUUUCUUUGUCACCUUUUUAGAUUGACCAAAGAAAAAUUAUACUAGAAGAUAACUGCAGAGAACAAAAUCAGAAAGCAUUGUGAAUUUGUGAUAUAUUUACCUUAGCUUAAAACAAGUAAAAGAAAAGAAUUAAUACUAGAAAAGAAAAAAAAAAAAAA